UACAAUGGACAAUACAAAGGGCAGCGAAACCGUGAGGUCAAGCAAAUCCCAUAAAGUUGUUCUCAGUUCGGAUUGUAGUCUGCAACUCGACUACAUGAAGCUGGAAUCGCUAGUAAUCGUAGAUCAGCAUGCUACGGUGAAUACGUUCCCGGGUCUUGUACACACCGCCCGUCACACCACGAGAGUUUGUAACACCCGAAGCCGGUGGAGUAACCUUUUAGGAGCUAGCCGUCGAAGGUGGGACAAAUGAUUGGGGUGAAGUCGUAACAAGGUAGCCGUAUCGGAAGGUGCGGCUGGAUCACCUCCUUU
rnacentral:rRNA from 1 species